rnacentral:rRNA from 1 species
AGUGUAGAUUCAGAGUUUGAUCCUGGCUCAGGACGAACGCUGGCGGCAUGCCUAAUACAUGCAAGUCGAGCGAACUGACGGAGGAACUUGUUCCUCUUGACGUGAGCGGCGGACGGGUGAGUAACACGUGGGAAACCUACCUUUCAGCGGGGGAUAACGUUCGGAAACGGACGCUAAUACCGCAUAACGUUAACAGUCGCAUGAUUGUUAAAUAAAAGACGGCUCUGCUGUCACUGAAAGAUGGACCCGCGGUGCAUUAGUUAGUUGGUAAGGUAACGGCUUACCAAGACGAUGAUGCAUAGCCGACCUGAGAGGGUGAUCGGCCACACUGGGACUGAGACACGGCCCAG